rnacentral:snoRNA from 1 species
AGCCCUAGAUGUGUUGCAGGUGUGGCUUCUAUGUCAAAUGUGUGUCAAUAUAAAGCAUAGACAAGAGAGGUUCGGUGUUCUGACCUAAGAACAUCUAAAUGAUUAUUAGCCUAACAGU